rfam:Triticum urartu cultivar G1812 contig975885, whole genome shotgun sequence.
UUUGUACUCCCUCCGUCCCAAAAUUCUUGUCUUAAAUUUGCUUAAAUACGGAUGUAUCUAGUUACAUUUUAGUGUUAGAUACAUCCAUAUCUAAACAAAUUUAAGACAAGAAUUUUGGGACGGAGGGAAUACUAC